UAUAGCUUCAAUUACAAAAUUCCAUAAGUGCAACUGAGUGCAAUACACAUCAAUGUCGAACAAUUACAGAAAUUCUCUUGAUAAAUAGAACUGUAUGAAAAUAAUGAUCUAAAAAUUGACGAUCGAUGAUGAAGAAUCCUUUGCCACUAAUACUGAUGUCGAGAUUAUUUAUCUGGCUUAAGAGUUCCUGUUUGGCAAAGUGUAGCUUUUCAUUGUCGCCAGCCCAGAACGUGAGCUUUUCAAUAUUUUUGAUCAAUUCGAUUUUCUGCCAUAAAAGAAGAUGGAUGAAAUUUAUAAACUCAAACAAUACCACGGCACUCAAGAAGUUGCAGAUUGGACCUGUUAACAAAAAUAAAAUAUCACAUUUUCAUCUGUAAAAAGUUAUCUAUAAAUAGAAAAUUGGUAACCAAAAUACUACAUAUAAAAAACCAGCAAAUUUAUAGUAUAUACUUAUAUAUCUCAUCCAAGAAAUGUGUUCUUUUUCCCAAUAAAAAAAUAUGAAGUAAAUGGAAUAUGACACAUCGAAAAAUGUUUGACCGCUGAUUGCAGCGACACUAACA